rnacentral:rRNA from 1 species
CAAAAACAUGUCUCUUUGUAAAAUAUAAAUAGAGAGUCGGGCCUGCUCGGUGAAUAAGUUUUUAACAGCUGCGGUAUUUUAACUGUACUAAGGUAGCAUAAUAAUUUGCCUUAUAAUUUGAGGCUAGAAUGAAUGGUUUGACGAAGGUUAAUCUGUCUCCACCUUAUUUUUUAGAAGUUAAUUUUUAAAGUGAAAAAGCUUAAAUCUUUUAAAGGGACGAGAAGACCCUAAUGAGCUUAUAAUUUUAUUAUCAUUAUUUAAAAUAUUUAGGUGGUGGUAUAUAAAUUUUAAUUGGGGUGAUUAAGGAAUAAAUUGUGUAUAGUAACUUCCUUAAAUUAGGUAUUUGUAGAUAAAGUAACCAAUGUAAUAUUGCUUAUAGUAUAGUUACCAUAGGGAUAACAGCGUAAUUUGUUUAGAGAGUUCUUAUUGAAAAACGAGAUUGCGACCUCGAUGUUGGAUUAAAGUAACCCUAGGGUGCAGAAGCUUUAGUAGGUAAAUCUGUUCGA